AGGGAUGUAUCAGAAAGGGCUGGAUUUUUCCUUUCUUUAAACCACUUGGCAUUAGGAAAACUCAAUUUUCUUUGUGAACUUGAAUAAAACCAAGAGAAGUAAAGAUUACUGAUGUCGGUGUUGCGCUGAAAGAAAUAGGAAAUAAUGGUACAGAGCAAUUCUUCCUUUAAUAUCAUAGAACUCAGCACUGCGUUUGACAUAUUGUGAUGCUAUCCUUUUCAGUGUUAACUGUGCAUGAUUUGACCCACUUACUGUAAUUUUUUUCCAUGUUCAGCCUUCU
rnacentral:lncRNA from 1 species